GGAGAGGUGGCUGAGUGGUCGAAAGCGGCGGUCUUGAAAACCGUUGUACCGCAAGGUACCGGGGGUUCGAAUCCCUCCCUCUCCGCCA
rnacentral:tRNA from 1 species